rnacentral:rRNA from 1 species
GAUGAACGCUAGCGGCAGGCUUAACACAUGCAAGUCGAGGGGUAUAGAAAGCUUGCUUUCUAGAGACCGGCAAACGGGUGCGGAACACGUACACAACCUACCUUUAUCAGGGGGAUAGCCUUCGGAAACGGAGAUUAAUACCCCAUAGUAUUAUGGAGUGGCAUCAUUUUAUAAUUAAAGAAUUUCGGAUAGAGAUGGGUGUGCGUAAGAUUAGCUAGUUGGUGAGGUAAAGGCUCACCAAGGCAACGAUCUUUAGCUGAUGUGAGAGCAUGAUCAGCCACACGGGCACUGAGAACCGGGCCCGACUCCUACGGGAGGCAGCAGUGAGGAAUAUUGGUCAAUGGACGGAAGUCUGAACCAGCCAUGCCGCGUGAAGGAUGAAGGCGUUCUGCGUUGUAAACUUCUUUUAUUUAGGAAGAAACCACUUUUUUUUAAGAGUGUUGACGGUAUUAAAUGAAUAAGCACCGGCUAACUCCGUGCCAGCAGCCGCGGUAAGAC